GACGAACGCUGGCGGCGUGCUUAACACAUGCAAGUCGAACGGAAAGGCCUGCUUUCCCUUGUGGAUUGCGGGUACUCGAGUGGCGAACGGGUGAGUAACACGUGAGUGAUCUGCCCCCAACUUGGGUAUAAGCCUGGGAAACUGGGUCUAAUUCCCGAUAGGACUGCAGGGUGGUGCCUGUGGUGGAAAACGAUUUUCUAGUGGUUGGGGAUGAGCUCGCGGCCUAUCAGCUUGUUGGUGGGGUAAUGGCCUACCAAGGCGGCGACGGGGAGCCGGCCUGAGAGCGUGGACGGCGACAUUGGGACUGGGAUACGGCCCAGACGCCUAGGGGAGGCAGCAGUGGGGAGUAUUGGACAAUGGGCGGAAGCCAGAUGCAGCGACGCCGCGUGGGAGAUGACGGGCUUCGGGUGGUAAACUCCUUGCGACCGCGAGGAAGCCACCUGGUUGGAAGGGUGGUGACGGUAGCGGUAGAAGAAGCACCGGCUAACUACGUG
rnacentral:rRNA from 1 species